UCUCAUUUUCAGCUGCCCACAUCUGAAUUCAUCACCAUCACUUCAACCUCCACUCCUUUGAUCCAUCUUUAAGUCUAAAACAAGUGUUAGAAAGAAGCCUUGUGGAGUUUGGAGCAUUAGAGCCUUGAAGAAGAAUCACCACUUGCAUUCUCACACCUCUUUCACCAUCAUUUCUUGUUCACAAGUUCAUCCCUAGCCCUUGUGCUAGUAGUAGUCGUGUUUGCUGAGGAGAUUUGGGUUACGAGUACCGAAGACGCAAUACUGAAAUUAAGUAUGGAUCUGGCGGGCGUUGGAAUUUCAAGUCAUGUUAAGUAUAAAGAAGUCAUCCAUGGUUUUUGGGUUUGGCCACAGUGUCCUAAUCCUGG